GGAGGUAGUGACAAUAAAUCACAAUGCGGAACAAUGUUUUGCAAUUGGAUUGAGAACAACGUACAAACCUUAUCGAUAAACAAUUGGAGGGCAAGUCUGGUGCCAGCAGCCGCGGUAAUUCCAGCUCCAAUAGCGUAUAUUAACGUUGUUGCAGUUAAAAAGCUCGUAGUUGAAACGAAGGGUGGUGUUGUUGGAUUUACAUUCGUGUAUUUCUUUCAACUCCUCCCUCCUUCUAAAUUCGAUAUAUGAGUAUUAAUUUACUUGUAUAUGGUUUUAGACAUUUACUGUGAGAAAAUUAGAGUGUUCAAAGCAGGCAUUUGCUUGAAUAUAUUAGCAUGGAAUAAUCAUGUAUGAUUUUCAUGAUGUAUUUGAUUGGUUUGGUUCAUGAGAAUAAGAUUAAAAGGGACAGUUGGGGGUAUUCAUAUUCAAUAGUCAGAGGUGAAAUUCUCGGAUUUAUGGAAGAUGAACAAGUGCGAAAGCA
rnacentral:rRNA from 2 species